rnacentral:rRNA from 1 species
CAUGCAAGUCGAACGGUAACAGGAAGAAGCUUGCUUCUUUGCUGACGAGUGGCGGACGGGUGAGUAAUGUCUGGGAAACUGCCUGAUGGAGGGGGAUAACUACUGGAAACGGUAGCUAAUACCGCAUAACGUCGCAAGACCAAAGAGGGGGACCUUCGGGCCUCUUGCCAUCGGAUGUGCCCAGAUGGGAUUAGCUUGUUGGUGGGGUAACGGCUCACCAAGGCGACGAUCCCUAGCUGGUCUGAGAGGAUGACCAGCCACACUGGAACUGAGACACGGUCCAGACUCCUACGGGAGGCAGCAGUGGGGAAUAUUGCACAAUGGGCGCAAGCCUGAUGCAGCCAUGCCGCGUGUAUGAAGAAGGCCUUCGGGUUGUAAAGUACUUUCAGCGGGGAGGAAGGGAGUAAAGUUAAUACCUUUGCUCAUUGACGUUACCCGCAGAAGAAGCACCGGCUAACUCCGUGCCAGCAGCCGCGGUAAUACGGAGGGUGCAAGCGUUAAUCGGAAUUACUGGGCGUAAAGCGCACGCAGGCGGUUUGUUAAGUCAGAUGUGAAAUCCCCGGGCUCAACCUGGGAACUGCAUCUGAUACUGGCAAGCUUGAGUCUCGUAGAGGGGGGUAGAAUUCCAGGUGUAGCGGUGAAAUGCGUAGAGAUCUGGAGGAAUACCGGUGGCGAAGGCGGCCCCCUGGACGAAGACUGACGCUCAGGUGCGAAAGCGUGGGGAGCAAACAGGAUUAGAUACCCUGAUAGUCCACGCCGUAAACGAUGUCGACUUGGAGGUUGUGCCCUUGAGGCGUGGCUUCCGGAGCUAACGCGUUAAGUCGACCGCCUGG